rnacentral:rRNA from 1 species
AUUGAACGCUGGCGGCAUGCCUAACACAUGCAAGUCGAACGGCAGCACAGUAUGUAGCAAUACAUAUGGGUGGCGAGUGGCGGACGGGUGCGUAAUAUGUAGGGAUCUGCCCUGAAGCGGGGGACAACCCGGGGAAACCCGGGCUAAUACCGCAUAAUACUCUACGGAGGAAAUCUGGCACGCAAGUGCUGGGGCUUUAGGAUGAACCUACAUCCGAUUAGCUAGUUGGUGAGGUAAUAGCUCACCAAGGCAAUGAGCGGUAGCUGGUCUGGGAGGAUGACCAGCCACAGUGGGACUGAGACACGGACCAGACUCCUACGGGAGGCAGCAGUGGGGAAUAUUGGACAAUGGGGGAAACCCUGAUCCAGCAAUGCCGCGUGGGUGAAGAAGGCCUUCGGGUUGUAAAGCCCUUUAGGCGGGGAAGAAGGUUAUAGGGUGAUAAGCCUUAUAGCUUGACGGUACCCGCAGAAUAAGCACCGGCUAACUCUGUGCCAGCCGCCGCCGUAA